AUUGAACGCUGGCGGCAUGCUUUAUACAUGCAAGUCGAACGGUAACAGGCCGCAAGGUGCUGACGAGUGGCGCACGGGUGAGUAAUGCAUCGGAACGUGCCCAGUCGUGGGGGAUAACUACUCGAAAGAGUAGCUAAUACCGCAUACGAUCUAUGGAUGAAAGCGGGGGACCGUAAGGCCUCGCGCGAUUGGAGCGGCCGAUGUCAGAUUAGGUAGUUGGUGGGGUAAAGGCUCACCAAGCCAACGAGCUGUAGCUGGUCUGAGAGGACGACCAGCCACACUGGGACGGAGACACGGCCCAGACUCCUACGGGAGGCAGCAGUGGGGAAUUUUGGACAAUGGGCGCAAGCCUGAUCCAGCAAUGCCGCGUGCAGGAAGAAGGCCUUCGGGUUGUAAACUGCUUUUGUACGGAACGAAACGGCUCUGGUUAAUACCCGGGGCUAAUGACGGUACCGUAAGAAUAAGCACCGGCUAACUACGUG
rnacentral:rRNA from 1 species